GACGAACGCUGGCGGCGUGCUUAACACAUGCAAGUCGAACGGAAAGGCCCUGCUUUUGUGGGUUGCUCGAGUGGCGAACGGGUGAGUAACACGUGAGUAACCUGCCCUUGACUUUGGGAUAACUUCAGGAAACUGGGGCUAAUACCGGAUAGGAUCUCCUGCUGCAUGUUGGGGGUUGGAAAGUUUCGGCGGUUGGGGAUGGACUCGCGGCUUAUCAGCUUGUUGGUGGGGUAGUGGCUUACCAAGGCUUUGACGGGUAGCCUGCCUGAGAGGGUGACCGGCGACAUUGGGACUGAGAUACGGCCCAGACUCCUACGGGAGGCAGCAGGGGGGAAUAUGGCACAAUGGGCGGAAGACUGAUGCAGAAACGCCGCGUGCGGGAUGACGGCCUUCGGGUUGUAAACCGCUUUCGCCUGUGACGAAGCGGGAGUGACGGUAAUGGGUAAAGAAGCAACGGCUAACUACGUG
rnacentral:rRNA from 1 species